rnacentral:rRNA from 1 species
GCCUACGGGCGGCAGCAGUGGGGAAUUUUGGACAAUGGGGGAAACCCUGAUCCAGCAAUGCCGCGUGAGUGAAGAAGGCCUUCGGGUUGUAAAGCUCUUUUGUCAGGGAAGAAAAAGCCAAGGCUAAUAUCCUGGGUGAAUGACGGUACCUGAAGAAUAAGCACCGGCUAACUACGUGCCAGCAGCCGCGGUAAUACGUAGGGUGCGAGCGUUAAUCGGAAUUACUGGGCGUAAAGGGUGCGCAGGCGGUUGUGCAAGACAGAUGUGAAAUCCCCGGGCUUAACCUGGGAAUUGCAUUUGUGACUGCACAGCUAGAGUGGGUCAGAGGGGGGUAGAAUUCCACGUGUAGCAGUGAAAUGCGUAGAGAUGUGGAGGAAUACCGAUGGCGAAGGCAGCCCCCUGGGAUAACACUGACGCUCAUGCACGAAAGCGUGGGGAGCAAACAGGAUUAGAUACCCGGGUAGUCA